GUCCUAAGAUGGGGCAGGACUUCAGUGAAUUUACAGUGGGUCAAUGUCUUGUCCUCAGAAACACAAACAGCAGAAUGGCUCCAUCUCUGUUGAAGACUUCCAUCAACUAGAACCACGAGGGCUGAUGGACAGACCACAAGGCCAGUUUGUUCCAGUUCAAUGAUUAAAAGAACCACAGAUGACCAGGCACGGUGGCUCACGCCUGUAAUCCCAGCACUUUGGGAGCCCGAGAGACGGAGUUUCACCAUGUUAGCCAGGAUGGUCUCGAUCUCCUGACCUCGUGAUCCGUCCGCCUUGGCCUCCCAAAGUGCUGGGAUUACAGACGUGAGCCACCGCGCCCGGCCAAAACCCUGCUUUUAAUAAAGUGUGAAAUGGUAAAAAUAACCUCUCUUUUUUUUUAAGUUUUCUAUUUGUAUAAAUGUAUAGGGCAAAAGUAUCGUUUUGUUACAUGCAUAGAGUGUGUAGUGGUGAAUUCAGGGCUUUUCGGGAGAACCUCUCUUCUUACACAUCAGUGGAGUACUCACUGAUAACACUACGCUUAAUAGUAAUGUUGCCAUUAUUAGUGUUACGACCCACUGAUAUAGAGACCUAUUUGACAACUAACAGGACUUUCUUAAAAGUCCAAAAAAGGAUCUGCUUUGAUAAUUCUGCUAGGAGAUCCAAGUGGGUGGGUGGAUCUGCUAGCACCACUCCUCAAGUGUUUCAAUGUUCAGUCUGGGGUAGAUCCAAUUAGCAGAGAAGAAUUUUUAUGCAAUGGCUUGGACUAGAGUUUGGAAUUUGGCAGUCAUCACUGGAAAAAUGAAUUUCUGCCUGUUCUGAAUCAAAACAAAACAAGCCAUGUGCAGUACACACCUGUAGUCCCAGCUACUUGGGAAGUGACUUGAGAGGAUCACUUGAGCCCAGGAGUUCCAGUCCAGCCUGAGCAACACAGUGAGACCCUCAUCUCUAAAAAGCAAAUAAAAAUAAAAAACACCAAAACAACCA
rnacentral:lncRNA from 1 species